AGUGAACGCUGGCGGCGUGCUUAACACAUGCAAGUCGAACGAGAACGGGUUAUAGCUUGCUAUAACUGUCAGCUAAGUGGCGCACGGGUGAGUAAUGUAUAGUUAACCUGCCCUCUAGAAAGGAAUAACAGUUGGAAACGACUGCUAAUGCCCUAUAUGCCUUUAAGACAUAAGUCUGCAAGGGAAACGCUUUAGUGCUAGAGGAUGGGACUGUAUGGUAUCAGCUAGUUGGUGAGGUAAAGGCUCACCAAGGCAAUGACGCCUAACUGGUUUGAGAGGAUGAUCAGUCACACUGGAACUGAGACACGGUCCAGACUCCUACGGGAGGCAGCAGUGGGGAAUAUUGCACAAUGGAGGAAACUCUGAUGCAGCAACGCCGCGUGGAGGAUGACACUUUUCGGAGCGUAAACUCCUUUUAUAUAGGAAGAUAAUGACGGUACUAUAUGAAUAAGCACCGGCUAACUCCG
rnacentral:rRNA from 1 species